CCCAGAUCGUUUACCGUGAAAAAAUUAGAGUGUUCAAAGCAGGCAGAUCCAAUUUUCUGCCACCGAAUACAUUAGCAUGGGAUAAUGGAAUAGGACCCUGUCCUCCUAUUUUCAGUUGGUUUUGGCAGCGCGAGGACUAGGGUAAUGAUUAAUAGGGAUAGUUGGGGGCAUUAAUAUUUAAUUGUCAGAGGUGAAAUUCUUGGAUUUAUGAAAGAUUAACUUCUGCGAAAGCAUCUGCCAAGGAUGUUUUCAUUAAUCAAGAACGAAAGUUAGGGGAUCGAAGACGAUCAGAUACCGUCGUAGUCUUAACCAUAAACGAUGCCGACCAGCGAUUAGGAGACGUUGAAUACAAAACACCACCAUCGGUGCGGUCGUCCUUGGCGCGUUGGUCUUCAAAAGCCAGCGCGCGGGGGCGGCUUAGCCCGGUGGCACCGGUGAAUGACUCCCCUAGCAGCUUGUGAGA
rnacentral:rRNA from 1 species